rnacentral:rRNA from 1 species
UACGAAGGGGGCUAGCGUUGUUCGGAAUUACUGGGCGUAAAGCGCACGUAGGCGGAUCGAUCAGUCAGGGGUGAAAUCCCAGGGCUCAACCCUGGAACUGCCUUUGAUUACUGCAAAUCUCGAAGUCCGGAAGAGGUGGAGUGGGAAUUCCUAGUGUAGAGGUGAAAUUCGUAGAUAUUAGGAAGAACACCAGUGGCGAAGGCGGACUCGAC